GGACUGUCAUAUGCAAAAUGGUUUAUUGAGCUCCCUCACUGGGCCAGGAACCAUGCAGAACCUACAGGAUAUAGUCCUUGCUUUGCUUUUCAGGAGAAGAUAUUCUAAGCCACUGCACCCCAUACAUGAGAGAGGACACAGCAGCAUGCAAAUAAUAAUAGCCCACAUCUAUGUUGUAUUGGAAGGCGAUUCAGAGGGAUCAGGGGAGACCCCAACUCAUAGGUCCUGGACUCAAAGCAUCCUAGAUCUGGAGUCAGAAGAGAUCUUAAAAGCCAUAUAUACGAGCAAAGGAUCAUAGUUUCAAAAGGCAGAAAGACCCUCAGAGAUCUAGUGCCCUCUUUUUGCAGAUGGAGAAACUGAGGACCAAAGAUGUUAAAGGACUUCUUUCUUAAAGUUGUACAUAUAGUAAAAAGGAGAGUUAGGAUUUGAAUCCAAGUCCUCUGACUCCACAGCCACAUUGCCUGAUCAUUGGUAGGUCUAAGAUAAUACUUUAUUUAUUUCUGUCAACAGAUAAGUGCUU
rnacentral:lncRNA from 1 species